rnacentral:misc_RNA from 1 species
GAUGAAGAACGUAGCGAAAUGCGAUACUUGGUGUGAAUUGCAGAAUCCCGUGAACCAUCGAGUCUUUGAACGCAAGUUGCGCCCGAAGCCAUUAGGCCGAGGGCACGCCUGCCUGGGCAUCACACGUCGUUGCCCCCCCAUCUACUCCUUCGGGAUUGCGGGGGGCGGAUGAUGGCCUCUCGUGCGCCUCGUCGCGCGGUUGGCCUAAUUGCCAAGUCCUCGGCGACGCACGCCACGACAAUCGGUGGUUGCGAAACCUCGGUUGCCUGUCGUGUGCGGUCGUCGCGCAUCGAGGGCUCGAAAAAAUUGCCGGGCUUCGGCUCGACUUUCAACGCGACCCCAGGUCAGGCGGGGUUACCCGCUGAAUUUAAGCAUAUCAAUAAGCGGAGGA